UACGUAGGGUGCAAGCGUUGUCCGGAAUUAUUGGGCGUAAAGAGCUCGUAGGCGGUCUGUCGCGUCUGCUGUGAAAACUCAGGGCUUAACCCUGAGCUUGCAGUGGGUACGGGCAGACUAGAGUGCGGUAGGGGAGACUGGAAUUCCUGGUGUAGCGGUGAAAUGCGCAGAUAUCAGGAAGAACACCAAUGGCGAAAGCAGCUUUCUGGGACGGUACUGACGCUGAGACGCGAAAGCGUGGGGAGCGAACAGG
rnacentral:rRNA from 1 species